GUUCCGUUGAAGCGAAGCUGCAUCAAACCAUAACAAGACGCUUCACAUCUCAUAAUUUCUCCUGUUAACAGAGAACCAUUCUUCUGCUGCUGGUCUGCCUCUCCUAGACCGAACCUGUAACACACGUACCUAUAUGGCCGGAAGGUAACUCAUCCAUCUUGACCAAGCAAGAUUAAAUUUGAACUACUCAAAGCCAUCUUCAAUUUAUUUUCAAUCUCCUUGAAGCCUUUAACUUCCCUCUGUUUGAAACCCUCAGUCAUUUGAUCAUGACACGAGACAGAGACCAUCCUACCUUAAUAUAAGGAAUUCUUUCGAGUGAUUGAGUAUUCAAAGCAUAAAACAAAGUCAUAAGACCAGAUAUAAUAUUUAUUUGAUAUGGAAAUGCUUGCAGAUAUGCAUUGCAAGAACUAUCUUUUGAAAUAAAAGAAGAGGUUAAAGAAAGACGGGUCAGUUGUCGUUUCACGUCGACUACAAAGGAUGAAAGAAGAAAAAAAUCUUCAUCAUGAGUACGAGUGACAGGAAGUGUGAAACACAACACACACACACACCUUCGUUUUUUCUGUUUCUGUUUAGAAAAGAACAAGGAACCUGUCUGCAUGGACAACACACACAUACACACACCACAAUUGAAAAAAAAACUGAGCUGUUAACUACCAGUUAUCAGUUUCAUUCACUUUAACACACUCUUUAAUAAAAAGAACAGGAAGUGCACCGCUACCAUACUCCCACAACACGGCAAGCACAGAAAUGUAUCAAUAUUCAUGGCUAUAUAAAAUUUAUAUAGAUUUAUUAUAGACAGUAACUUAUAUCAAGCAUUUAUAUAUAUUAAAUUUGACAUUUAUGGCAUACACGUAAGGAUAAACCCAAACUCAGUUAAAAAAAAUUAUAAAAGAUUUUAACACAAUAAUAGGAAAAACUUUACAGUUGACAUUGACACUCCCAAGAAGUUUUGCAAGUUGCAAAAUACAUUUACAAAAGAAGCUGACUGUGUGUGGUAUAAAGAAACAGUAGUAUAAAAUGGAAAGUUAAGUGAAAGGGAAAAAAAAAUCAUAGAAAUGAUGUGUAGAAGCAGAAAUGACUUGAGCCUUGCAUGUGUAGAACAAACUCUGCAGCCAUGCUUUCUGCACUCAUAAGAUUCACUCUGAGACCUCGUUUUAAAAAGUGCAGAUGUCAGAAACUGAUUACUGGAGAUGAGCUGCUGGAUUGUAAUAUAAUUGUUAUGGUUUCACUGAAAACGGGGGAUUAAUACCAGUGUUUCAGCAGCUGACAUUCAGUUUGUUAGAACUACCAGUUCACAUUUUAUUUGCAAAUAAAUCAGAUACUCACAUACACUGC